rnacentral:rRNA from 1 species
GACGAACCGUGCGAACGUUGUUCGGAUUCACUGGGCGUAAAGGGUGCGUAGGCGGCGCGGUAAGUCGGGUGUGAAAUCUUGGAGCUUAACUCCGAAACUGCAUUCGAUACUGCCGUGCUUGAGGACUGGAGAGGAGACUGGAAUUUACGGUGUAGCGGUGAAAUGCGUAGAUAUCGUAAGGAAGACCAGUGGCGAAGGCGGGUCUCUGGGCAGUUCCUGACGCUGAGGCACGAAGGCCAGGGGAGCAAACGGG